rnacentral:rRNA from 1 species
UGCCAGCCGCCGCGGUAAUACGAAUGGAGCGAGCGUUGUUCGGAAUCAUUGGGCGUAAAGCGUAUGUAGGCGGACAUGAAAGUCAGAAGUGAAAUCCCAGGGCUUAACCCUGGAACUGCUUUUGAAACUCCAUGUCUUGAAUCCCGGAGGGGUGAGGGGAAUUCCGAGUGUAGAGGUGAAAUUCGCAGAUAUUCGGAGGAACACCAGAGGCGUAGGCGCCUCACUGGACGGGUAUUGACGCUGAGAUACGAAAGCGUGGGGAGCAAACAGGAUUAGAUA